GGAUGAAGCGAAAGUAAAAUUUCGUGGAGGUCCGAACCCACGAGCGUUGAAAAGCUCGGGGAUGACUUGUGGGUAGCGGUGAAAUUCCAAUCGGGCCCGGAGAUAGCUGGUUCUCCCCGAAAUAGCUGUAGGGCUAGCCUCAAGGUGAGAGAUACGGAGGUAGAGCACUGAAUGUCCUAGGGGGUAUUGCACCUACCGAAGACUAUCAAACUCCGAAUGCC
rnacentral:rRNA from 1 species